GACGAACGCUGGCGGCGCGCCUAACACAUGCAAGUCGAACGGAGUCAAGAGGAGCUUGCUUUUCUUGACUUAGUGGCGAACGGGUGAGUAACGCGUGAGUAACCUGCCCUGGAGUGGGGGACAACAGUGGGAAACGACUGCUAAUACCGCAUAAGCCCACGGAUCCGCAUGGAUCUGCGGGAAAAGGAUUUAUUCGCUUCAGGAUGGACUCGCGUCCAAUUAGCUAGUUGGUGAGGUAACGGCCCACCAAGGCGACGAUUGGUAGCCGGACUGAGAGGUUGAACGGCCACAUUGGGACUGAGACACGGCCCAGACUCCUACGGGAGGCAGCAGUGGGGGAUAUUGCACAAUGGGGGAAACCCUGAUGCAGCGACGCCGCGUGGAGGAAGAAGGUUUUCGGAUUGUAAACUCCUGUCGUUAGGGACGAUAAUGACGGUACCUAACAAGAAAGCACCGGCUAACUACGUG
rnacentral:rRNA from 1 species